UAAUUUGUGUUUGUGUGUUCAUCCGGAGAAGGCGCUGUUGCCGUAGAGGAGAAAUCGAUCCGCGCCCAGGGAAUCGCUGUCUCAUGCCUUCUUUGCUGCCAAUUCUCUCCUACGACGUUCCGAUUCAAGGGGAAAUCCCUCCUCUAGCGUCCAAUGAGAGCUCCUCCAUCGUCUUCCGCGGCGAGCAGCACAGCAGCAGCAGUAGCAGCGUGUUGAAGAAGCACACCACAGUCUGCCGGGAGCUCCCGGAGAAGAAGAAGAAGCAUGUCAAGGCCGCCCAGGGCGGUGUGAAGAGCCACGGCGAGGGAUCGGGCGGCCAUAGCCAUCCUCUCGCAGAAUCGGUGGUGUCGGACAGUGGCGAUGCCGGCGAGGGCGUCGCCAAGGCCCAGGCGGUGGCCGAGGCCGUCAAGGUUAUGAAGAAGGCGGUGUUUGCGAUCCAAAUGGCCCUCUACAAUGGCCUGAGGAGCGAUUUCCAGCUCAAAGCCGCGACUUGCCUUCUCACUCAGAGCGAGUACGCGGACGUGGUUACCGAGCGAAGCAACGACAAGCAAUGUGGAUUCCCGCUGUGUCCAAACUCGCUCAAGGUGGAGAAGGCGAGAAAGGGGCGGUACCACAUAUCACUUCGCGAGCACAAAGUCUACGACCUGGAAGAGACCCGAGCGUUUUGCUCCACCGGGUGUGCCGUGAGCAGCAAGACUUAUGCGGCGAGUCUUCCGUCCAACCAUGAAGGGAUCAUGGAGCACCAGAAGCUGGAGGAGAUCAUAGCGUGCGUUCGUGGUCUUAGCUUAGCCACCACCGCCACCACCGCCACCACUACGAUUCCCGCCGCCGCUAGUGCGGGUAAGAUGAGUGCCUCGGCCCAAGACAGCGACGGAGUGGUGGUCCGGGAACGCACCGACUGUGAGCCCGGUGACCUCGAGUUCCAGCUCUCUCGUUCCGCCUCCAUCGAAGGAUAUGUUCCACGGGCUAAGCCGCAAGUUCAGAUAAACGACUCAUCCAAGCCUUUGAAGUCCGCUAUGAAGCAGUCGCCACGAAAGAAUCAGCGCAUCACUUGGGCCGAUGAGAUCCCGGCAGCGGUGGCUCAGCCAGAUGUGGACGAUAGCUUUACGUUCUCGACAACCGUCACGGUGACGAGCGAGGGAGAACGACUUGGAGCUGCACAGGUUGUAGCUGACGCCUUGGCUCAAGCCGCCAAUGUUUCAUCGCUGGGGGAAGUCGAGCCUUGCAAGGCUGCUGCAACUGCGGGGCUAGAGAUCGUCUCCCCCUAUGAGAAAGUCCCCGAGACGUUCGAGUUCGAUGCAACCAAGGAUGCCAAAGAAGAAGAAGACGAAGAAGAAAGGGAGGAUUUGAUCAGCCGGUCUUCUUGGUAUAGUGCACCUCCAAAACCGUACAAAGCGGAGGUGUCGCCCUUUGGGCUGCUCUGGAUGGCUUUAGAUGAAUGGGUGUCGAGCGGCACGCUGGCUCACAUCUAUGGAAGAGAUGACGAAGAGUUUCGUGACGUGAACGGGUGCUUCCUGACGUUGUCCAGGCUCUGGCGAUCGCUGAACCUCUCUCUGUCAUCGAACGGGCUGUAGUACGUGCUUGAAGUUUUUCGUAUGUUGUCAUGGAGUUUUUCCAGUCCAUUUUUCUUCCGCUUGAUCCUUAUGGAGCUCACUAACGCUUGUUUGCUGUAAACACACCAUUCCAGGGACGCUUGCUGGGGACGAUGCAUUUCUCCCAGGCGCUUCCAGCGUUCACGACCAAGCACUGGCGGAUGAUCGCGGCGCUCUUCCUGGACGCGCUCUCGGUGCAUAGACUGCCCGGCUUGGGUAGUCAGAUGACCAACAAUCGAGCUCUUCUACGAAAGCUUAUCAUCGAUUCUGGAAUGAAUGAUCCAGAGUACGAAAGUUUUAAGGAGCUUUUACUUCCUUUGGGCCGAUUGCCAGCCUUUGCGAGCGGCGGGGGAGGCUAAAGAAAGAAUAAUCUGCUACUUGCUUAAAAGAUUCCCGGACCAUGUACUUAAAAAGUGUGUAUAUAUAAAAUCUCGUUUACUUGGGA